rnacentral:lncRNA from 1 species
UCCAUCUUGGGUUAGAAAUAAAUCCUACAUCUUCUAAAAAUAACUCAGCCUUUCCCCCAGCAGGGCUGGCAGCAGGGCUGAGAAAGGCACACUUGCCCUUUUAUGGCCUGACUGGUUCCUGAGCAUCUUCCCAGGACCAUCCACCUCCCCAGGCUCUAGAAGAUGGACCUCAAGGAACCGAAGCUGCUCCCAGGCAAAGUGCAAGUUUCAACCCAAGCAGCCUGUGCAGAGCUGGCCCUGUGAUCCCAGCUUCCUUUGACUUCACAUCAUUCUUACAGCACUUUGAUCAUCUCUGUCAUGUUUCUUCAUUUUGGACAUGGGUGGGGGGAGCCCCAUCUCUAUCCUGCAAGAACUCUGCGUCUUCAACAGACCCAAAAAUGGCUUGAAGG